CAUGGGCCCAGCCGCUCCGCGGCAUGUGGGAUCUUCCCGGACCGGGGCACGAACCUGCGUCCCCUGCAUCGGCAGGCGGACUCUCAACCACGGCACCACCAGGGAAGCCCAGAGCUUGUCUUCUUAAAUGCAAUGAAAAUUCCUCUCGCUCCACAUCCUGCCAGCAUUUGGUGUUGUCAGUGCUUUGGAUUCCAGCCAUUAUAAAAGAGCAGCUGCAUGAAAAUUCAAGACUUUGAAGCCAAAGUGCCCAAGAAUUCCCACCACUCUCUGCUGUCCCUACGG